rnacentral:piRNA from 1 species
UGAGAUGCCGAGCUAGACAAUCAGUGU